GAACGACGUCCAGAGUCACCUUUUUAGCAAAAAUGUUAAUUUGGUGCUAGGAUUGUUCGAAAAUAAAAAUGGUCGUAUUAUGCAAGUAGGGCUUGCUUUGCGCUCCCCUCCUUCACCUCAUUCCCAUACAAU
rnacentral:snoRNA from 1 species